AGUGAACGCUGGCGGUAGGCCUAACACAUGCAAGUCGAACGGCAACACAGUAAGAGCUUGCUCUUACGGGUGGCGAGUGGCGGACGGGUGAGGAAUACCUCGGAAUCUACUUUUUCGUGGGGGAUAACGUAGGGAAACUUACGCUAAUACCGCAUACGACCUACGGGUGGAAGCAGGGGAUCUUCGGACCUUGCGCGACUGACUGCGCCGCUGACGGAUUAGCUAGUUGGCGGGGUAAAGGCCCACCAAGGCGACGAUCCGUAGCUGGUCUGAGAGGAUGAUCAGCCACACUGGAACUGAGACACGGUCCAGACGCCUACGGGAGGCAGCAGUGGGGAAUAUUGGACAAUGGGCGCAAGCCUGAUCCAGCCAUACCGCGUGGGUGAAGAAGGCCUUCGGGUUGUAAAGCCCUUUUGUUGGGAAAGAAAAGCAGCAGGUUAAUACCCCGCUGUUCUGACGGUACCCAAAGAAUAAGCACCGGCUAACUUCGUG
rnacentral:rRNA from 1 species